UACGUAGGGUGCAAGCGUUAAUCGGAAUUACUGGGCGUAAAGCGUGCGCAGGCGGUCUUGCAAGACAGAUGUGAAAUCCCCGGGCUCAACCUGGGAACUGCAUUUGUGACUGCAAGGCUAGAGUACGGUAGAGGGGGAUGGAAUUCCGCGUGUAGCAGUGAAAUGCGUAGAUAUGCGGAGGAACACCGAUGGCGAAGGCAAUCCCCUGGACCUGUACUGACGCUCAUGCACGAAAGCGUGGGGAGCAAACAGGAUUAGAUACCCUGGUAGUCCACGCCCUAAACGAUGUCAACUGGUUGUUGGGAAGGUUCCUUCUCAGUAACGUAGCUAACGCGUGAAGUUGACCGCCUGGGGAGUACGGCCGCAAGGUUG
rnacentral:rRNA from 1 species